UUAUUUUGAAGGCGCCAACCGGAAGACGUGUCAGCCGCUGCGCGCGGCACGCGACGCGGACUCGCCCGCUCCGUCAGUGCUCGCGGCGGCUCGGCACAGGCGGCAGGGAUCGUUUGAAGACGCUGCGCAGCUCUCACGCGCUGCUAUGACAUCUCGCAGGUGGUUCCACCCUAACAUCACCGGCAUCGAGGCAGAGCAGCUCCUGUUGACUCGGGGCGUCCACGGCAGCUUCCUGGCCCGGCCCAGCAAGAGCAACCCAGGGGACUUCACCCUGUCAGUCAGGCGCAACGAUGAGGUGACGCACAUUAAGAUCCAGAACUCGGGCGACUACUAUGACCUGUACGGGGGGGAGAAGUUCGCGACGCUGGCAGAGCUGGUGCAGUAUUACACGGAACAACAGGACCUGCUGCGCGAGCGCAACGGACAUGUCAUAGAGCUCAAGUACCCACUCAACUGCAAGGACCCCACGUCUGAGAGGUGGUACCAUGGGCACCUCUCUGGGCGAGACGCAGAGAAGCUGCUCACAGAGAAGGGCAAGGCCGGCAGCUUCCUGGUACGGGAGAGCCAAAGUAAGCCGGGCGACUUUGUCCUGUCGGUCCUCACCAACGAGGAGAAGCACGAGUACGUGGACCGCAAGACCAAGGUGACGCACGUCAUGAUCCGCUAUCAGCAGGACGGGAAGUACGACGUGGGCGGAGGCGAGCGCUUCGACACGCUGGCCGACCUGGUGGAGCACUACAAGAAGAACCCCAUGGUGGAGAAGAGCGGCAUCGUCGUGCAUCUCAAGCAGCCCUUCAACGCCACGAGGAUCAACGCCGCCAAUAUCGAGAACCGGGUACGAGAGCUCAACAAAGUAGCGGACAACUCGGAGAAGCCCAAACAAGGCUUCUGGGAGGAAUUUGAGGUACUUCAGCAACAAGAGUGCAAACUGCUGUAUCCCCGGAAAGAAGGCCAGAAACCAGAAAACAAGAGUAAAAACCGAUACAAGAAUAUCCUGCCCUUUGACACAACUCGCGUUGAGAUCAGGGAAGCUGAUCCAGAUGUUCUCGGUUCAGAUUACAUCAAUGCUAAUUACAUCAGGAGCAUGCACGAGGAAGGGCGCCACGUGGAGGACGGGAAAGUGUUCAUCGCCACCCAGGGCUGCCUCCAGAACACGGUCAUCGACUUCUGGAAGAUGGUCUAUCAGGAGAACACACACGUGAUCGUAAUGACAACAAAGGAGAUGGAGCGAGGACGGAACAAGUGCGUCCGCUACUGGCCGGACCUCCAUGCCACUAAAGAGUUCGGGAAGGUACUGGUGAGGAACGUGGACGAGCGGUCGGCACAAGAUUAUGUCCUGAGGAAGUUGGAGGUGACCCGUCUGGACCGGCAGAAGGAGCGUCCCAGGUACAUCUGGCACUACCAGUACCUGAGCUGGCCAGAUCACGGGGUGCCCAACGAGCCCGGUGGCGUCCUCUGGUUCCUGGAGGAGGUCAACCGCACCCAGAGCAGCAUUCCAGACACUGGGCCCAUUGUCGUCCACUGCAGUGCAGGCAUCGGCAGAACAGGCACCAUCAUCGUCAUCGACAUUCUCAUCGACAUUAUUGGGCGCCAAGGUCUAGACUGUGACAUCGACAUCCCUAAGACCAUCCAGAGGGUGCGGCAGCAGAGGUCGGGCAUGGUGCAGACGGAGGCCCAGUAUAAGUUCAUCUACAUGGCUGUGCAGCAGUACAUCGACACGGCUCAGAAGAGGCUGGAGGAGGAGCAGAGGAAUAAAAUGAAGGAGAGGGAGUAUUCCAAUAUUAAAUAUCCCCCGAUGACCAACUCAAGGUCCAAACUGAACAUGGCAUCGUCGCGCUCCUCUUCUGUGAUGACGAAUGAUGACUCAUCAAGUGUUUACGAGAACAUAAACUUUAAAAGUCCGCAGACGUCAUUCAGCAGCAACACAAGGAGGUAAAGCCGCUGGAGCUCCGCCUCUCUGCCUGCCCCUUAGACUGCUGUAUUACAGCUGAUCCAUAAACAACACUGCAUGUGUCGCAGCCCACUCAGACUCGGCCCUAAACCCACAGCUUGUGUGGAUGGAAUACGAUUCUAUAAUAAGAAAUACUACAAAUGUGCUGAUAAAACUUUUCCACACUUCAAUUUCUUCCACUGCAGCGCUGUCACUUCAUCGGCGCCUGACGGCCUCCCGCGGGAGGAAGCGGGUGCGCUGAUCCCAGGUCAGCCCUCGCUGUCUGGGCCGAUGGUGGCGAGUCGACCCCUCUGUCGCUGGCUUUUCCUGUCUGGAGCGAAACCUCGGUAGAGAGGAGCACCGUGCAGCAUCGCGCCUGAGCUCAGGGUCUCUGUCCCGCCCUGCCUCUCCUUCCUCCCAGCCUCCAAAGCCUCUCCUGUUCUGAACCAGCACAAGUGCCUUGCCACGGGACGCGUCUCCGUUCCUGCUUUCCAGAUCCUGGAAAACAACCGUUUUUGUUUUUAAUUUCUAUAGGGCGACAGAUACUGAAGCCUGUCCUGCCCUGUGAUGAACUGAACUGAAUGGGACCUAUCGAAGUCGAAGCUUGGCUGUUUGUCCGCUCGUUGCCAGAAAUCACUCUGUUCGUCUCCGCUCGCCUUCGCUUUUACUUCCUCCUGUGUGUCCAGCUGUGGUCAUUAUAUUGAAUUUGGGGGAUGGAAAGUUGUUAUUUAUAAGCAGUAUAAUAAAGAGAGAGAGUUACUUAAUUUAAAUAAAAUAGUAACUGUCGGUGCUUAUGUCACCGGGGAGGAUUCCUGAAUGGGUGUUUGCAGUCAGACGUGGUUUACUGCCCCCUCGCAGCGACCCGUGACCCGUCCUCCUGGUUCAUCGGCAGGUCUGGCGCCGUCCAACAUCCGUCGGAGGAGCCCGUCGCAGCGAGACGAGGGGGAGACGGGCCGAUUACGGCGGGCCAGAUGGCCAUCUGCCCGAAAUUGAAGAAAAGAUUUGUCUCUAAAAAGUAAUUUAGAAGAUGGCUGUAAUCCAGGCUUGAUGAUAGCGAGGCGAGUAAACUGACGUCGUUGAUGCGAUAAGCGAGGCUGCGGAGCACUGAGCCCUCGGCGCUGUCUGGCAGAUUGUCGACUAUUUUUAGCCUGCGGGAUCAGCACCGCCCCAUCGUGCUCGAAUUCAAAAUACACUGGUGAAAUGUGACGUAGCUUGUUUAAAGCGUUAAAGGUGAUUUUUAUUUUUAUUGGUUGCACAAGCUCCGAUCGUCGUGACGCGUUCAGUCCAAAGCAAACAGUCACAGGCUCCACUCUCUUCAGUGGCUGCUGCAGUCUGAGAAUGUUUAAAAUGUGAUAUUAUUCAGUUAGAAUGAAUAGUUAUUGGCCCCCAGCAGUUUCCACAGAGUUUGUGUGAGCAUCUAUGCAUUCUGGCCGUGAGUCGUUCCCAUUGUAAGUUGCUGUCCUGUGUUUUAAUGGUUGAUUCUGAGUCAAAGCUGUUUUAUGAACUGAGUAGUUGCUGGCCUGUGUCCUCGCAGGCCAAAUUUGCUGCGCCACGUGAUCUUUGAACGUCAGGGAGAUUUGAAUCCUCUGGUUUUUCCUUUUCUUUUUUUUCCGUUUGUCAUCCGAACCGUGAUCUUUGUUCGAUGAAUGAGAAAUGACUUCUGCGUAUUGUUUCUGAACUAUAUUGCACUGUGGAUGAUUCAGAAUUAUUAUUAUUUUUUUUGUAUUUCACUUUGCCUAUUUGGGUCAAAUUGUGGAUGAUGUAGUGAAACAUUAAUACUUGAAAGUGUGAAACUGCUGAAUCUCUGGCCUCAGGCUCUUCAGACGUCCACUGGGAGUGGAAUUAUUUUUGUUGGUGCACUAGAUUUUCGCUAUCAGUGUUCUAUUUUAUUGUUUUUUUUCUAGCUCAAUUUUGUUCAAAUUGUACAUUUUUAAUUAAUAAUUUGCAUUGUGUUUUGUCCCAUUAUUAUUGGUGUGACCUCACCAUGGAUGAGCGAUGUGCACAGAGCUGUGCAGCAUGAACAUGAUCACUUCUUUGUGCUUGUCCUUUACAUUUACUUGAACACGUUUGGAUUCGUUGCUCCCGCCGUUUGCAGGACGCCUGCAGUGACUUGUGCUGCAGAGUCCCCUCGUUGCUCAGUGGAGGUUCUCGCCCCUUCUUCUCUUUCUUGCACUGGCUCUGCCUUGUUGCUGUUGAGGCUGCACCUGCUGAUACAAUGAGCUGCCACGAAUGGCAUAAGAAUGGUUUAUUAUAUAGUUUAAUAAAAGGUUAUAACGUUA